rnacentral:rRNA from 1 species
UCGGGAAUUUUGGGCAAUGGGCGCAAGCCUGAUCCAGCCAUGCCGCGUGAGUGAAGAAGGCCUUCGGGUUGUAAAGCUCUUUUACCAGGGACGAUAAUGACGGUACCUGGAGAAUAAGCCCCGGCAAACUUCGUGCCAGCAGCCGCGGUAAUACGAAGGGGGCUAGCGUUGUUCGGAAUUACUGGGCGUAAAGCGCACGUAGGCGGAUUGUUAAGUCAGAGGUGAAAUCCCGGAGCUCAACUUCGGAACUGCCUUUGAUACUGGCAAUCUAGAGUCCGGAAGAGGUUAGUGGAAUUCCCAGUGUAGAGGUGAAAUUCGUAGAUAUUGGGAAGAACACCAGUGGCGAAGGCGGCUAACUGGUCCGGUACUGACGCUGAGGUGCGAAAGCGUGGGGAGCAAACAGGAUUAGAUACCCUCGUAGUCCCUGAGCGGGCUGGCAAGGCGCAU